rnacentral:rRNA from 1 species
CACUCCUGCGGGAGGCAGCAGUGGGGAAUAUUGCACAAUGGGCGCAAGCCUGAUGCAGCCAUGCCGCGUGUAUGAAGAAGGCCUUCGGGUUGUAAAGUACUUUCAGCGGGGAGGAAGGCGAUAAGGUUAAUAACCUUGUCGAUUGACGUUACCCGCAGAAGAAGCACCGGCUAACUCCGUGCCAGCAGCCGCGGUAAUACGGAGGGUGCAAGCGUUAAUCGGAAUUACUGGGCGUAAAGCGCACGCAGGCGGUCUGUCAAGUCGGAUGUGAAAUCCCCGGGCUCAACCUGGGAACUGCAUUCGAAACUGGCAGGCUAGAGUCUUGUAGAGGGGGGUAGAAUUCCAGGUGUAGCGGUGAAAUGCGUAGAGAUCUGGAGGAAUACCGGUGGCGAAGGCGGCCCCCUGGACAAAGACUGACGCUCAGGUGCGAAAGCGUGGGGAGCAAACAGGAUUAGAAACCCUAGUAGUCCC